CUACGGGGGGCAGCAGUGGGGAAUAUUGGACAAUGGGGGAAACCCUGAUCCAGCAAUGCCGCGUGUGUGAAGAAGGCCUGCGGGUUGUAAAGCACUUUCGGUUGGGAGGACUGCUUCUAGCACUAAUAUUGUUGGAAGUUGACGUUACCUUCAGAAGAAGUACCGGCUAACUCCGUGCCAGCAGCCGCGGUAAUACGGAGGGUGCAAGCGUGAAUCGGAAUUACUGGGCGUAAAGCGCGCGUAGGCGGCUAGAUCAGUCGGGUGUGAAAGCCCCGGGCUUAACCUGGGAACUGCAUCCGAUACUGUCUAGCUUGAGUACAGGGGAGGAGAGUGGAAUUCCACAUGUAGCGGUGAAAUGCGUAGAUAUGUGGAGGAACACCAAUGGCGAAGGCAGCUCUCUGGCCUGAUACUGACGCUGAGGUGCGAAAGCGUGGGGAGCAAACAGGAUUAGAUACCCGCGUAGUC
rnacentral:rRNA from 1 species